rnacentral:lncRNA from 1 species
AUCAUAGAUCAUGUAUGGUGAUUUUAGAUUUGAUCUAUGCAUGCAUUAUAAAUUAAAUUAUUUAAUCUAUAUAUAUUUCACCUGCAAAUUUUUAAAAAUGCAUGCAUGAACCCCACCACGCUUUCCUACAAAUGGGUUCAGAGUCAGGUUGCGAUCUUGGGACCUGUGGGUUAUGGGCCCAGGAUCUCAUAUAAUUUUUAGCAUAAAAAAUCAGAUUAGAUCUAAUUUUUAUCAUAAAAAAUCAAAAAAAAAGAAGAGAAGAGCCAAGACAAAUGGUAUC